rnacentral:rRNA from 1 species
UACAGAGGUCUCAAGCGUUGUUCGGAUUCAUUGGGCGUAAAGGGUGCGUAGGCGGCGCGGUAAGUCGGGUGUGAAAUCUCGGAGCUUAACUCCGAAACUGCAUUCGAUACUGCCGUGCUUGAGGACUGGAGAGGAGACUGGAAUUUACGGUGUAGCGGUGAAAUGCGUAGAUAUCGGCAGGAACACCCAGGGGGAAACCAGCCGACUGGGCAUCUGCUGACGCUGAGGUGCGAGAGCGUGGGGAGCGAACCGG